rnacentral:rRNA from 1 species
UUUCCUACGGGGGGCAGCAGUGAGGAGUAUUGGUCAAUGGGCGAGAGCCUGAACCAGCCAAGUCGCGUGAAGGAUGACGGCCCUACGGGUUGUAAACUUCUUUUGUCAGGGAGCAAUUGGGUCCACGCGUGGGCUUAGCGAGAGUACCUGAAGAAAAAGCAUCGGCUAACUCCGUGCCAGCAGCCGCGGUAAUACGGAGGAUGCGAGCGUUAUCCGGAUUUAUUGGGUUUAAAGGGUGCGUAGGCGGACUGUUAAGUCAGCGGUAAAAGCCCGGGGCUCAACCCCGGCGAGCCGUUGAAACUGGC